rnacentral:tRNA from 1 species
GCCUGGAUGGCGGAAUUGGCAGACGCGCCGGACUCAAAAUCCGGUUCCCUUUGGGAGUGAGGGUUCGACUCCCUCUCCAGGCACCA